rnacentral:ncRNA from 2 species
CAACUCCAUCCACCCGACGCUGGGGAAAGCCGGUCCAAGUCCGGCGCUGACCCGCAACCGUAGGCCCCUCGGGGCGAGCCGGAGCACCCGCCGUCGGGGCUGAUCAGUC